rnacentral:rRNA from 1 species
GAUGAACGCUGGCGGCGUGCCUAAUACAUGCAAGUCGAGCGAACAGAUGAGGAGCUUGCUCCUCUGACGUUAGCGGCGGACGGGUGAGUAACACGUGGAUAACCUACCUAUAAGACUGGGAUAACUUCUGGACACCGGAGCUAAUACCGGAUAAUAUAUUGAACCGCAUGGUUCACUAGUGAAAGACGGUUUUGCUGUCACUUAUAGAUGGAUCCGCGCCGCAUUAGCUAGUUGGUAAGGUAACGGCUUACCAAGGCAACGAUGCGUAGCCGACCUGAGAGGGUGAUCGGCCACACUGGGACUGGGACACGGGCCAGACUCGUACGGGAAGAAGCAGUAGGGAAUCUUCCGAAACGGGCGAAAGCAUGACGGAGCAACGCGGCGUGAGUGAUGAAGGUAUUCGGAUCGUAAAACUCUGUUAUUAGGGAAGAACAAAUGUGUAAGUAACUAUGGAAGUCUUGACGGUACCUAAUCAGAAAGCCACGGCUAACUACGUG